rnacentral:rRNA from 1 species
GACGAACGCUGGCGGCGUGCUUAACACAUGCAAGUCGAACGAAGUGGCGAACGGGUGAGUAAUACGUGGGUAACCUGCCCUCCUUUUUGGGAUAAGCCUUGGAAACGGGGUCUAAUACCGAAUAAAGGGGGAUGGGCUCGCGGCCUAUCAGCUUGUGGGUGGGGUGAUGGCGUACCAAGGCGGUGACGGGUAGCCGGCCGGAGAGGGUGACCGGCCACAGAGGGACAGAGAUAAGGCCGGGACUGCGACAGGGGGCAGCAGUGGGCGAUAUGGAGCAAUGGGGGAAAGUGUGAUACAGCGGAGACGCGUGGGGAGUGAAGGCGUGUGGGUUGUGAACGUCUUUCGAUAGCGAAGGGGUAGGUGGGGAAGAAGCGCCGGCUAACUACGUGCCAGCAGCCGCGGUAAUAC